rnacentral:rRNA from 1 species
GAUGAACGCUGGCGGCGUGCCUAACACAUGCAAGUCGAACGAAGCACCUUACUUGAUUCUUCGGAUGAAGGUCUGGUGACUGAGUGGCGGACGGGUGAGUAACGCGUGGGUAACCUGCCCUGUACAGGGGGAUAACAGCUGGAAACGGCUGCUAAUACCGCAUAAGCGCACGAGGAGACAUCUCCUUGUGUGAAAAACUCCGGUGGUACAGGAUGGGCCCGCGUCUGAUUAGCUGGUUGGCAGGGUAACGGCCUACCAAGGCAACGAUCAGUAGCCGGUCUGAGAGGAUGAACGGCCACAUUGGAACUGAGACACGGUCCAAACUCCUACGGGAGGCAGCAGUGGGGAAUAUUGCACAAUGGGGGAAACCCUGAUGCAGCAACGCCGCGUGAGUGAAGAAGUAUUUCGGUAUGUAAAGCUCUAUCAGCAGGGAAGAUAAUGACGGUACUUGACUAAGAAGCUCCGGCUAAAUACGUGCCAGCAGCCGCGGAAAUACGUAUGGAGCAAGCGUUAUCCGGAUUUACUGGGUGUAAAGGGUGCGUAGGUGGCAGUGCAAGUCAGAUGUGAAAGGCCGGGGCUCAACCCCGGAGCUGCAUUUGAAACUGCUCGGCUAGAGUACAGGAGAGGCAGGCGGAAUUCCUAGUGUAGCGGUGAAAUGCGUAGAUAUUAGGAGGAACACCAGUGGCGAAGGCGGCCUGCUGGACUGUUACUGACACUGAGGCACGAAAGCGUGGGGAGCAAACAGGAUUAGAUACCCUGGUAGUCCACGCCGUAAAC